GAGGAUGUAGCUCAGGGCUAGAGUAUGUGCCUAACAUGCACAAGGACCUGGGUUCGAUCACCAGCACCACCU
rnacentral:tRNA from 1 species